CGAUGAUGAUGUUGUCUAAUUCCAAUUCAAAACCACGGAUAUCCGUUACUCGAGCAAACCGUGCGAAUCCAAAUCUUCUACCUCCCGCAUCGCGUUUGGUAGGAAUAACAACUUCUGUAACGUUGCCAUAAUAUUUGAAAGCUCUGAGCAUGGCAAGUGCACCGAAACUGUCCGGGAAGCUCGUAAAAAAGUAUGUCGUGAUAUCAUUUGGGUGUUCGUUGUGCGAUGAUAUUG
rnacentral:lncRNA from 1 species